rnacentral:rRNA from 1 species
ACAACGGGUGGAGCUUGCGGUUUAAUUGGAUUCAACGCCGGAAAUCUUACCGGGACCGACAGCAAUAUGAAGGCCAGGCUGAAGACUUUGCCGGAUUAGCUGAGAGGUGGUGCAUGGCCGUCGUCAGUUCGUACUGUGAAGCAUCCUGUUAAGUCAGGCAACGAGCGAGACCCACGCCCACAGUUGCCAGCGUACUCUCCGGAGUGACGGGUACACUGUGGGGACCGCCGCUGCUAAAGCGGAGGAAGGAAUGGGCAACGGUAGGUCAGUAUGCCCCGAAUAUCCCGGGCUACACGCGAGCUACAAUGGUUGGUACAAUGGGUAUCUACCCCGAAAGGGGACGGGAAUCUCCUAAACCUGUCCUUAGUUCGGAUUGUGGGCUGCAACUCGCCCACAUGAAGCUGGAAUCCGUAGUAAUCGCGUUUCAAAAUAACGCGGUGAAUGUGUCCCUGCUCCUU